rnacentral:misc_RNA from 1 species
GAGUAUCAUGCCCUUCGGGGUAGAUCUCCACCCUUGAAUAACAUACCUUUGUUGCUUUGGCAGGACGCACUCGUGCCAGGGGCUUCGGCUCUUGAGUGCCUGCCAGAGGACCACAACUCUGUAAUAAAUGUCGUCUGAGUACUAUAAAAUAGUUAAAACUUUCAACAACGGAUCUCUUGGUUCU